rnacentral:rRNA from 1 species
AUGAACAGGCGGUUUGUGAAUCUGGUGACGCGGAACUGGACCCAAGGUGUCUAUUCGGUGCGCCGCAUGGACCCUUACCACCAUUUCUUCUACGGGUCAACAGAAGCUGCACUUGGGGCAGCAGAUGAGGCUUGCAAGAUGAAGGAAUCAUUCCCAGCGAUGCAGAUCCAGGACCUGCCGAGCCCAAGCACGAACUUCACUGCAGCUGCCCCAGGUGGCACCUUGGAUAUGUUCGCGCUCCUCACCCCCCGCCCCACCAGCGAUGGCAGAAUGAUUUAUGCCAAUACGAUCGGCGAGACCCGGCUGUACGACGCCGACAAACAGGUGCACACCACCCUGGGCCGUCUCAACACGCCUAAGGGAGUCAAACCCAUGUGCCUCUCCAUCGCGCACCCUGGCGGCGACGAAGACAGCAUUUAUGUGUUGGAUACCGAACCCUUGAAGGACGCCCGUCGAUGCUUUGAGGUCCUUGAGCCCACGCCCAGGGAAUUCAGGAGCAGCAGCUUGAUGCCGCCAUGGUGUUGGCGAGUUCUUCCACCGCCUCCUUUUGUCCUCGAACCUUGGUACCAACCAUCUUCUAUUACCUCCUUUACCACUGUGGUCAAUGGCGAUGGCUGCUCCACCAUCUACAUAUCAUGUGGUGGCCGCAUAGGCACCUACAGCUUUGAGACGGCAUGCUCUGACUCUAGACACUGUCUAGGAUGGAGGCUCUCGGACAAAUGGAGCCAUGUUGGGGAAUGGAAGCUGCCCUUUAAUGGCAGAGCUCAGUACGUCCCUGAGUUUAACCUAUGGUUUGGAUUCUCAGACUCAAGCCCCAACCACCUGUGUGCCAUGGACCUCUCUGCCAUGGACAAUGGACGGCAGCCCACAGCACCCAAAAUAUGGGAAGAUCUGAACCUGCCUGAUGGAGAGGCGUGGCUUCCGAAACAGCUCGAGCUUCUCUACCUUGGCGACCGCAAGUUUCUCACCGCUAAGACCUUUGCAGAAGGAGAAAUAGGCGGGUGCUUUUCUGUGCUCACCGGCGUAGAGAUGAUUGCUGGCGCCGGUGAUGACCAGCACACCCUUCAGAUGGUCAAGCACAAGUGCGCACGUUUUGUCUUCACCGACGAGGACAUUGAGUGGGUGCUCUGA